GAGUUUGAUCCUGGCCAGGACGAACGCUGGCGGUGUGCUUCACACAUGCAAGUCGAGCGAAUGAAGAAGGUAGCUUGCUACUUUUGGAUUUAGCGGCGGACGGGUGAGUAAUAUAUAGGAAUCUGCCCUAGAGCGGGGAACAACAGACCGAAAGGUUUGCUAAUGCCCCAUAGGUAUGCAGUCUUCGGAUUGUUUAUUAAAGGAGUAAUCCACUCUAGGAUGAGCCUGUAUCCGAUUAGCUAGUUGGCGGGGUAAAGGCCCACCAAGGCUACGAUCGGUAGUUGGUCUGAGAGGAUGAUCAGCCACAAUGGGACUGAGACACGGCCCAUACUCCUACGGGAGGCAGCAGUGGGGAAUUUUACACAAUGGGGGAAACCCUGAUGUAGCGACACCGCGUGAACGAAGAAGCCUUUUGGGGUGUAAAGUUCUGUCGGCUGGGGCGAAAAAAAUGACGGUACCAGCAAAGGAAGCAUCGGCGGACUACGUGCCAGCAGCGCGGUAA
rnacentral:rRNA from 1 species